rnacentral:rRNA from 1 species
AUACGGAGGAUCCGAGCGUUAUCCGGAUUUAUUGGGUUUAAAGGGUGCGCAGGCGGCCAUUUAAGUCAGCGGUUAAAUCGUGGGGCUCAACCCCAUUCUGCCGUUGAUACUGGGUGGCUUGAUUGCGGUCGAGGUUGGCGGAAUUCGUUGUGUAGCGGUGAAAUGCAUAGAUAUGACGAAGAACACCGAUUGCGUAGGCAGCUGACCAAACCGCAAAUGACGCUCAUGCACGAAAGUGCGGGGAUCGAACAGGAUUAGAUACCCUGGUAGUCCGCACAGUAAACGAUGAAUACUUGUUUUCGGCGAUAUAAUGUCGGAGGCAAAGCGAAAGCGAUAAGUAUUCCACCUGGGGAGUACGCCGGCAACGGUGAAACUCAAAUGAAUUGGCGGGG